rnacentral:rRNA from 1 species
ACGACUCUCAGCAACGGAUAUCUUGGCUCUUGCAACGAUGAAGAACGCAGCGAAAUGCGAUACGUAGUGUGAAUUGCAGAAUUCCGCGAAUCAUCGAGUCUUUGAACGCAACUUGCGCCCGC